CCUACGGGAGGCAGCAGUGGGGGAUAUUGCACAAUGGGGGGAACCCUGAUGCAGCGACGCCGCGUGAGUGAAGAAGUUAUUCGUAAUGUAAAGCUCUAUCAGCAGGGAAGAAAGUGACGGUACCUGAGUAAGAAGCACCGGCUAACUACGUGCCAGCAGCCGCGGUAAU
rnacentral:rRNA from 1 species